ACAGAGGGUGCAAACGUUGUUCGGAAUUACUGGGCGUAAAGCGCGUGUAGGCGGCUAAGCAAGUCGGGUGUGAAAGCCCUUGGCUCAACCGAGGAAGAGCAUUCGAAACUGCGUAGCUUGAGUUCUGGAGAGGAUGGUGGAAUUCUCGGUGUAGAGGUGAAAUUCGUAGAUAUCGAGAGGAACACCGGUGGCGAAGGCGGCCAUCUGGACAGAAACUGACGCUGAGACGCGAAAGCGUGGGUAGCAAACAG
rnacentral:rRNA from 1 species